GACCCGCUGGUCAAGUGGUUAAGACACUGCCCUUUCACGGCAGUAACAUGGGUUCAAAUCCCGUGCGGGUCA
rnacentral:tRNA from 5 species